CGCCUGUUUAUCAAAAACAUCUUUUCUUGUUAGUUUUUGAAGUAUGGCCUGCCCGCUGACUUUGGUGUUGAAGGGCCGCGGUAUUUUGACCGUGCAAAGGUAGCAUAGUCAUUAGUUCUUUAAUUGUGAUCUGGUAUGAAUGGCUUGACGAGGCAUGGGCUGUCUUAAUUUUGAAUUAUUUAUUGAAUUUGGUCUUUGAGUUAAAAUUCUUAGAUGUUUUUAUGGGACGAGAAGACCCUAUAGAGUUUAACAUUUAUUAUGGUCCUUUUUCUGUUUGUGAGGGUUCACUGGGCUGUCUAAUAUGUUUUGUUGGGGUGAUGGGAGGGAUUAAUUUAACCCCUCCUUUUUAUUAUUAUAUUUAUUUAUAUUUACUUGAUCCAUUUAUUUUGAUUGUAAGAUUAAAUUACCUUAGGGAUAACAGCGUAA
rnacentral:rRNA from 1 species